AAAGGAUUACGUCAUCAGUGAGACGUGGCAGAGAUAAACAUCAUUGCCUUAACGAUGGAUUCAGCAGUUUGCCCAGGAAAGCCUGUCGAGACUAUUGGCCCUGGGGGACAGCAGUGAGAGAGUUUACUAAGGAAGCGUGACUACUCAGAGACAGAGAAACCUACCUCCCCGCCCCAUGAGUCUUGUCUGUGAAAAAGAACACAAGAACGGAAGCCCUGCCUCACAGGAACACGCCGUUCUGUGUCCUAGCACACCUCAGUGAUGUCAGCGCAUGACUCAUCCUCAGAGGAGCAAGACAGCGGACCGAGGCAGCGCAAAACAAAACACAACAGGCAUGGAACCAGCUGCAGCUUCCCCCGAAAAAACAGAGAGGGUUAUGUUACAUUACUGUUGUGAUGCCAAUUCCAUCAAAUGGGCUUUGAGACA